AGCAGAUAAAUAUAAAUAAAACUGAACCCCCGUGUUAUAACCACUGUCAUUGUUAGAGCAACAACAGUUGUUAUAACACGCAUGUUCUGUUUCACAUACAUCGUGUCCGCUUA
rnacentral:precursor_RNA from 10 species